rnacentral:rRNA from 1 species
CUUGCCAGGGGACUACGAGCCUCAGCUUAAAACCCAAAGGACUUGGCGGUGCUUUAGACCCCCCUAGAGGAGCCUGUUCUAGAACCGAUAACCCCCGUUAAACCUCACCCUCUCUUGUUCAUCCCGCCUAUAUACCGCCGUCGUCAGCUUACCCUGUGAAGGAUUAAACGUGAGCUUAAUUGGUACAACCCAAAACGUCAGGUCGAGGUGUAGCGUACGAGAGGGGAAGAAAUGGGCUACAUUCACUGAACCAGUGCAUACGAACGACGCUUUGAAAUCAGGCGUUUGAAGGAGGAUUUAGCAGUAAGGAGAGAAUAGUGUGCUUUCCUGAAACCGGCCCUGAAGCGCGCACACACCGCCCGUCACUCUCCCCAAAAAUAGGCAAAUUUUAAAUAAAACCCAACUUUAAGAAAGGGGAGGCAAGUCGUAACAUGGUAAGUGUACCGGAAGGUGCACUUGGAAAAAA